AAGCGCACCUCACACCUGGUGUCUGCAAUGCACCGUUGCUCUUGGCUCUGUUUCACUUCAGUAUUUUGGUACUUUCUUGGGAUCUGGGUGUUACUCAAUGCUUCCGCUUGCUGCUAGCUGUGAUCACUCUGCCCUGUCAUUCUGCGGCAUCUGUGCAACAGACUUCCAGCCCCAUCGCCUCCAUCUCCACCUGACUUUAUAACACCAGACACUGUAAAAGUACAACUCUGCCAUCUAGCCUAAAUACAGAGACAUUACACUUAGAAUUGUUUACAAAAUCUGAAGGUAUGUAUAGGUGAAGAGAUAAAAUCAGCUCAAAUGUUCAACAUUUAGAAUGAGGCAAGUAAAGUAAAAAUAAUCUCUUCUCCGUCUCAGGACUGCGGGUUGUCUCUCCAAACAUCACAUUACACCCUGUGUGGGAAGGUGUAAUCGGGGCCUCACCUGUCAGACUCCUCUGCACCCUAAGUGGCUUCUUUCCAGACCAACUGAGUGUGAUGUGGCAACGGGACAACCAAUCUCUAAACAUUGUGCAAACCCAAAGGAAGCUGCAGAGUGUGAAGGGAGUGGAGAAAACCUUCAGUCUAAGCAGUGAGAUUGAGCCAAAUAUGAAACAGUGGGCAGGUGGCUCAAAUUUUACAAGCAGGUCCACUCAUAUCGACAGUGAAUUUCGAAAAACAAUAAGUAUUUGUCAAACACAGACAAGCGCCCCUCCUUCCGUUCAUGUGGAGAUUCCCAGACAGUAAUGGUGUCAACGUCUGAUGGAUGGGCAACCCCCAUCCAGACACCAAGUGAACCAGGUCACACAUACAACUCAUUUAAUAAGCACUCUGACGGUUUCCUCGAGUCAGUGGAAACAACUGAAGCUUCUGAAAUGUAAAGUUGAACAUCGCUGCUUCUCAUCCACUGAGGAGACAAUAAAUGUUGCAGCGCCUGCAGUUACAGCUCCAUCAGUGGAGAUCAGGAGAUCUCUCCCAGAUUUGCUGAAUGGAAACAGUUCUGUGCUGGAGUGUGACGUCACACAACUCUCCUCCAUUGACCUCUACAUCACCUUUCAGGCCAACAGUGUUGACAUCUCUGAAAAACUGUAUGUUGAUCUUCCUGAAGCCCCAGGCCUCCAUUCAGUCAGUAGACGCUUCACUGUCCUUCCAAACUACUGGAAGAGAGACACAAGUUUCACCUGCAAGGUGAAUCAAGGUUUCUCCAGCAGCUUCAAGUCAAAUUCCACUGGCAAUAUUUUUGUGGACCCAUCAGUGGAGCUCCUUCAGGUCCCCAGUAAAGAGUCAGGACCACAGAGGAUCUUGUGCUCUGGAUGGGGCUUCAACCCUUAAAUGAUUUGCUGAGUCCCAGCAAAGAUCUCCGUCAACGAAUGACAUCAGCAUGAGUGCAGAUGGACGUGUGGCAGUAACCAGUCAACUUCACAUCCCUCAGACAGAGUGGAAAACAGGGAAGGUCUUCACUUGUUUAGUGUCUGAAAAAUCUCUGAAUAAAACCGUUGAAAAGAACAUCAGCAUCUGUUCAGUAACUCCAGCAUCAUCUCAGAUAGUUGCCGUAUAUGUUCAGGGACCACCCCUCCAGGAGCUUCAGAGCAAGGGACAGGUGACUGUCACCUGUCUUCUGGUUGGCCCUUCUCUUGAUGAUUUCUCCAUCACCUGGAAAGUAGGUGGGAACAAAUAUUCUCUUAAUGUCCAUACGGAGCCACCAGUGAGUCACAGCAAUGGGACGGAGUCUUUGCGGAGCUUCCUCAAAGUGUCAGCGGAGGAUUGGCAUGCAUACAAACAAGUGGAAGCACCGAUGUUCCAACCAGGGCUACCAGGACCAUAUAAGCAAAAGCAGAGUUUUGUACCCACCAACAGUGAAAAAAUUACAACCAACUGCCUCUGAGCUGUCUACCUCAGACGUCCUCACACUUAUUUGUCUGGUUUCUGGAUUUUUCCCGCCUAACAUCAUGGUGUACUGGGAGGAGAAUGGCCAGAGACUCCUUUCAGCUCGCUACACCAACAGUCCUGCGUGGAAAUACACAGAGAGCAGUGCUUAUUCAAUGAGCAGCAGACUAAACACAUCCAAAACUGAGGACAAGGAGUCUACAUAUUCUUGUGUUGUCAGGCAUGAGUCCUCUGAAACGCCGUUUGAAAGCACUAUAAAGGAUGUUUUUGCCACAGUGACCUACAGCCAACCUUCAGCUACCUUGCUCCAGGGCUCUGGUGAACUUGUGUGCCUGGUCUUCGGCUUCAGCCCUGCAUCUAUUAGCAUCACUUGGUUUUCUGGUGACACCAAGGAACUGUUGGACUACAACACUAGUGAACCCAUCAGAGGCCCAAAUGGAAAGUUCAGCAUCCAAAGCCACCUUCGUCUGUCCCAUGGCAACUGGUUCCCUGGGGCAGUCCUCACCUGCAGGGUGACACAUGAGAACACCACCCAAUCCCUGAAUAUAUCUAAACCAGACACGUUGGAGGGCUGUCAUUUCUUAGAUGAGAUUAUGCAUGCUGAUGUGAACCAAGACACAGAUGUGGAAAGCUGGUAUAUGACUUUCACUUUCCUCUUUUUUUUCCUCAUCUCCGUCAUCUAUGGUGUCUUGGCUACUGUGAUUAAGGUAAGUAAUCCUCCAGUACAAUAUUUCAACUACUAA